rnacentral:rRNA from 1 species
AUGUACUUGAUGCGAUAGAAGCAAAUGAACUGCAUGUGUAUCGUAAAAUGCGUAGAUAUGUGGAAGAACACCAGUGGCGAGAGCGGCUUAUUAGAUUGUAACUGACGUUGAGGCUCGAAAGUAUGGGUAGCAAACGGAUUAGAUACCCUGGUAGUCCAUACUGUAAACGAUGGGUGCUAGUUGUUAAGAGGUUUCCGCCUCCUAGUGACGUAGCAAACGCAAUUAAGCACCCCGCUUGAGGAGUACAGUUCGCAAGGCUAAAAUUUAAAGGAAUUGAUCGGGGACCCGCACAAGCGGUGGAGCAUGUGGUUUAAUUAUAAAGAUACGCGAAAAACCUUACCAGGUCUUGACAUACCAAUGAUCGCUUUUGUAAUGAAAGCNNNNNNNCGGAACAUUGGAUCCAGGUGGUGCAUGGUGUCGUCAGCUCGUGUCGUGAGAUGUUGGGGUAAGUCCCGCAACGAGCGCAACCCUUGUUAUUAGUUGCCAGCAUUUAGUUGGGCACUCUAAUGAGACUGCCGGUGAUAAACCGGAGGAAGGUGGGGACGACGUCAGAUCAUCAUGCCCCUUAUGACCUGGGCAACACACGUUCUACAAUGGGAAGUACAACGAGUCGCAAACCGGCGACGGUAAGCUAAUCUCUUAAAACUUCUCUCAGUUCGGACGGGAGUAAGCAACUUGACUCCCCGAAGGCGGAAUCGAUAUUAAUCGCGAAUCAGCAUCAUGCGGUGAAUACGUUCCCGGGUCUUGUACACACCGCCCUUCAAAUCAUGGGAGUCCGAAGUACCCAAAGUCGCUUGGCCUAACUUUCAGAGGCCGGUGCAUAAGGUAAAAUCGA